rnacentral:rRNA from 1 species
CCCUUAGAUGUUCUGGGCCGCACACGCGCUACACUGAAGGAGGCAGCGUGUACUCCUGGAUCGAAAGAUUUGGGUAACCCGCGAAUCUCCUUCGUGCUAGGGAUUGAGGUUUGCAAUUAUCCUUCAUGAACGAGGAAUUCCCAGUAAGUGCAAGUCAUAAGCUUGCGCUGACUACGUCCCUGCCCUUUGUACACACCGCCCGUCGCUACUACCGAUUGAAUGAUUUAGUGAGGACUUCGGACUGGGACCGAUGCGGCUUUCGGGCUGCAUCGGUAUUCUGGAAAGAUGUCCAAACUGUAUCAUUUAGAGGAAGUAAAAGUCGUANCA